AGCAGCCGCGGUAAUUCCAGCUCCAAUAGCGUAUAUUAAAGUUGUUGCAGUUAAAAAGCUCGUAGUUGAAUUUCGGGACCAAUAUGUCGGUCGUGCUUCGGUACGUACUUGCAUUAUUGGUCUCUCCCUUCUGAAGAACCAUGAUGUCAUUAAUUUGGUGUCUUGGGGAAUCAGGACUGUUACUUUGAAAAAAUUAGAGUGUUUAAAGCAGGCUCGCGCUUGAAUACAUUAGCAUGGAAUAAUGAAAUAGGACGUUUGAUUCUAUUUUGUUGGUUUCUAGGAUCGACGUAAUGAUUAAUAGGGAUAGUUGGGGGCAUUAGUAUUCAAUUGUCAGAGGUGAAAUUCUUGGAUUUAG
rnacentral:rRNA from 1 species